UAAUACGGGGGGUGCAAACGUUGCUCGGAAUCAUUGGGCGUAAAGCGCGCGUAGGCGGCCUGAUAAGUCGGAUGUGAAAGCCCUCGGCUUAACCGAGGAAGUGCAUUCGAAACUGUCAGGCUUGAGUAUGGGAGAGGAUUGUGGAAUUCCCGGUGUAGAGGUGAAAUUCGUAGAUAUCGGGAGGAAUACCGGUGGCGAAGGCGACUUUCUGGCUGAAUACUGACGCUGAGGCGCGAAAGCGUGGGGAGCAAACAGGAUUAGAUACCCUGGUAGUCCACGCCGUAAACGAUGUGAACUAGAUGUAGGAGGUAUUGAUCCCUUCUGUGUCGCAGCUAACGCAUUAAGUUCACCGCCUGGGGAGUACGGUCGCAAGAUUA
rnacentral:rRNA from 1 species